rnacentral:rRNA from 1 species
GACGUAGGGCGCGAGCGUUUGUCCGGAUUUAUUGGGCGUAAAGAGCUCGUAGGCGGCUUGGCAAGUCGGGUGUGAAAACUCCAGGCUCAACCUGGAGAUGCCACUCGAGACUGCUAUGGCUAGAGUCCGGUAGGGGACCACGGAAUUCCUGGUGUAGCGGUGAAAUGCGUAGAUAUCUGGAGGAACACCGGUGGCGAAGGCGGGUCUGCUGGGCCGGAUGACUGACGCUGAGGAGCGAAAGACGUGGGGAGCGAACAGG